GGACUACUGGGGUAUCUAAUCCUGUUUGCUACCCAUGCUUUCGUGCCUCAGUGUCAGUCUUUGUCCAGAAGGUCGCCUUCGCCACUGAUGUUCCUUCCGAUAUCUACGCAUUUCACCGCUACACCGGAAAUUCCACCUUCCUCUACAAGACUCUAGUCGCACAGUAUUAGGCACAGUCCCCAGGUUAAGCCCGGGAAUUUCACACCUAACUUAUACAACCACCUACGCACCCUUUACGCCCAGUAAUUCCGAUUAACGCUCGCACCCUCUGUAUUACCGCGGCUGCUGGCAC
rnacentral:rRNA from 1 species